CAGCCGCCACGGUAAUACGAAGGGGGCUAGCGUUAAUCGGAAUUACUGGGCGUAAAGCGUGCGCAGGCGGUUCGUUAAGACAGAUGUGAAAUCCCCGGGCUUAACCUGGGAACUGCAUUUGUGACUGGCGAGCUAGAGUAUGGCAGAGGGGGGUAGAAUUCCACGUGUAGCAGUGAAAUGCGUAGAUAUGCGGAGGAACACCGAUGGCGAAGGCAGCCCCCUGGGCCAAUACUGACGCUCAUGCACGAAAGCGUGGGGAGCAAACAGGAUUAGAUACCCCAGUAGUCCCUGUCUCUUAUAC
rnacentral:rRNA from 1 species